AGAGUUUGAUCCUGGCUCAGAUUGAACGCUGGCGGCGUGCCUAACACAUGCAAGUCGAGCGGUAACAGGCUCUGGGGCAACCCAGAGUGCUGACGAGCGGCGGACGGGUGAGUAACGCUUGGGAAUCUACCUAGUAGUGGGGAAUAACCAGUCGAAAGAUUGGCUAAUACCGCAUACGUUCUUCGGAAGAAAGCGGGGGC
rnacentral:rRNA from 1 species